AUACAAUUUCUAUUAUGUAACAUAAGAGGAGUUUCGUGGCCUAAAAAGAUAAAGUCAAUUCCUCUUGGACAUUUCUCAUGGACCAGUAUUGAAUAGCAAACCUAUGCAUACUCCUCUUAACUGGCAAUAGCUCUCGUAUUUAAGUGUCUAGCUGAGUAAAAGCGUGUUGCAGGCUUUAAAUUUAGUGAGCAUUCCCUGAAGAUACAACCACGAGAGGAUGUCUGGCGGUAACGGUGUGAAAAAACUUCUUCAACAAAUGUUAUCAGCAGUAGUGGAGUCCGGAGGCUAUGAUACACAGUUGUCUAAGCUGUGUCUGGUAUCAGCUGGUCAGGGACGUUGUGUAGCCAAAGUGAAGAUAGAAAAGGAACACACCAAUCGGGGAGGGAAUCUCCAUGGGGGCUUCACUGCCACACUGGUUGAUGCAGUGUCCACCUUGGCUCUCAUGACCACUGAGCAGGGUGCUCCAGGUGUCUCUGUCAAUAUAAACGUGUCAUACAUGAAAAGUGCUAAAACUGGAGAAGAAAUUCUCAUCAAUGCUGAGACGCUUAGGGUGGGCAAGACAAUGGCUUUCCUGGACGUUGAUAUAAUCAACAAAGAAACAGGAGACCUGGUGGCCAAGGGCAGCCACACAAAAUUUAUUGGAUGAAGUUAAAAUAAUAGAAAACAAACAGACAAACAAGAAAUAAAUUUGGUCAGUAAGUGAAAAUAGAAAAUUUUUCAUCGUACUUUAUAUUUCUCUCUAUCCUCCUUUGAUAGAACACCCUAGAAACUUUUAUGCACUAGAGCUGCAAUGAAUCAUCUUGUGGAAAAAUAAAAGACUGCACUGCUCAUCAAAAAAUAUGUAGAUUGUGAGCAACAUACCCACAGCAUAAGAGCAGUAUUACUGUGCCAGCACAUAGACAGGAGGUAGAAAAAGAGCAGUGAAGUCUGUGGAGAUAGUGAGGACAUUUGUAAUGUCCAUAUAUAACUCUGUGACUUCUAAAUGAUCUGAUACUGGCCAAGAGCCUAAAUUCAGCUAUGACAACAAAAAAACCUCUGAUAAGAAGGAGGAGGACAGGGAGGACAGCAUGGAUAUCUUGAAUGACACCCAGAACAAUAUGAUCCAUGCAGCCAUUAUCAUCCACAACGGCAACACUCACUGCAGCACAAGGCAGCUAUCACAGCCAGCCAACGAGUCAAACGCACAAGGAAGACGUGGAUACCACCAGUGUGCUACUACUUGUAGUAGUGAAGAGCAUCAAUGGGCGAGGAGUGAUCAUCAAGGAAGACACCUGUGGAAGAAAGAGUUAAUAAAACCGGGAAACACUAUUCUCUCUAUUUGCAAUUACCCUCACCAUAUUUGUUACAAGUGGAUAUUGGGGUGGCGGAACACCGCUUUCAUGGCGUGAUUGUCCGUGUCCACAGCCAUUACUUCCACCACCACCACCACCUGGUAAAAAAAUGUCGAAAAAGUAAAUUUGCAGAAGUAUGAAAAAUAUUAAGCAAUCGUAAAAUAAAAAUAAUUGAAAAAUGACGCAGUCUGGGAGAUCAUUAAAAAGGGACAAUCUUGGAGGGGCAUUCUGGGUAAAAGAUGUUAGGGGUGCUGGGGGGAGGGAUGACCACUGCAUGCAAGUGGACUGCAUUGUAGUGGGAAAGUAACUAACAUGGUGAGGGCGGAGAGUGCAAAAAUCACUGUUCAGGCAACUUUAGUUGUGUUUUCACUAUAGCAAACCGGGACACUCGUUCGUGGCACUACAAAUUUAGAAGAAAAAGUAAGUAUAGUGGAUUGUCAAAACUGCACUUUCAUAUACAAGUAUAAAAUAACUCGCCAAGAAAUGCAUUGUGGAGACUCAGCGCGGCUAUAUCUCAUCCGGAGUCAUCUGGAAAGAAGAAAGACACAAGGACAAGUGUAGUUGGUCAUGUUGCCAUAAAUAUUUCAGGAUUUUUCAUCGUACAACACAACGGUGAUCAGACAACUGUGACAAUGGUGAACAGACCUUGACAGCCCAGACAUGCGAUAAGCUAAAACGCGAUCAUACAGUACAUCCCUAAAUACUACUAAAUACAUAGUCAUUAGGGGUAACAUGAAUGUAAUGCUUCACACCUUAAAGGGGAUCGAUAAAUACUGAAGAAUUACGCCAAGCCCGUAAUCCUAAAUAAAAACAAACAAGAGGCUACGCAAUUUAGAACGGAAGAUUCUAAUAAAGGUGCGUCCACACGGUCGAACAUAGUCCGUCGGACAAACACUUACCAUAUCAUAAGGCGACGCAGGAUGACGUCAUAAGCGUUUAAACGAGGGAAGUUGAUGUUUGCGACAUUGAAUUUGAAUUUGAAGAAAUUCUUUGAAGCGAUGGUAGUGGACAAUAUGAGGGUAGAAUGGUGUGACAUGUACGUGUAUCUGGGAUCACCAUUUACAUCUAAUGGCUCUGUGUUUUCAACCGUUAAGGUUCAUGCUGAAAGGAAAAUGAAGGAUGUUAAGGAGUACAUUUUAUUUCUAAAGAAAAACAAUGAUUUACCGUUCUUAGUAAAAAAACGAGUAUUUGAUGCGUGUCUAAUGUCUUCUCUAUUGUAUGGCUGCGAAUUGUGGUUGAGUGCGGAUCUUAGUCCUGUUAAUAAGUUAAAUAACUGGUCUUUGAAAAAUCUUCUUGAUGUUAGGGGAACACAUGCAACGACCUGUGUUAUAUUGAGACAGGAUACCCACCAUUAAAAGUUCUGGUUAAGAAAAGGCAAAGGAUGUUCUUUAAAAGUAAGUGGGAAGAAAGGAAGGCGAUGGACGAUGAUCUAUUUUCGUUUGUAGUUAAGACAGUAUGUGAUACAGGAGGUAAUACCAGACUAUACCUGACAGGCUUGUUGCACGAGAACCCUGAUGACAUACAAGUGGGAUGGAAUGAACUAAAAAACUGUGUGCUAAAUUCAGCAUCAUCAAGAAGAAUUACUUAUAGAACUAUAAUGAACCCAACCUUGGCAGUUCACCCAUUAUAUCAAACGAACUACAAAGUAAGUGAAUUACAAAGGUCCGCUUUCAUCUGAUUCCGUGUGUCAGCACAUUCUCUUGUAGUGGAGGUGGGUAGGUGGAGUAGAAGGGGCCGCGGUUACCUCCCACUAGCAGAGAGGGUGUGUACUUGUAGGGAUGUUCAGACAGAGGAGCAUGUUAUUCACGCAACAUAUUCGAGACAUAUUCCGGAUUUCUACUAUUCAAGAGAUAUAUACGACACAAGCUAAUUACGCACUAGUAUGUAAGAUAGUUUGGGAUAUGUUACAAGUCUAUUGGAACUAAACUUGAAUCAUAUCGAUGAAAGUUGUGUAUAUUUUUUGAAUGGGAAUGUUAUUAUUUGCGUAAUUUUUUUUUUCUUUCUCUUGGUAGGUAAAAUAGAAGUUUAAUCCAGAUGAAGCAUCUGUUCGUUUAUUAUUGGUAUUUUUUAAAAAGUAUUUUGAUGUAUUUUAUCGUUGGAGGUAUAAACUUGGUUUUGUUUUGUUAACUGAGAUUUUUCGAAUUAUGUGUUUAACUAAGCUUGAAUUAUUUCCAUCAGCUUUGUGUAUACUAUUAAAUGAGAACAAUAGAUUUUCAGAUAAUGCACAUAUGUUCAUUUAUCAUUAUUAAUUUUUGAAAAGUAUGCCAAUGUAUUUCGUUAUUAGAGGUAUAAAUUUGGUUUUAUUUAUUAUAUAUAUUGUACUAUUAACCGUGCCGUUGAUUAAUCUUAAUAAUUUCGUAUGUCGUUAUCCGUUUUCCUUUACAUUUUAAGUUUACCAAUAUUUUGUUAAUUGUGACACCUUAAAGUUUUUAUGCCUUAAUAUUUCUAGUUUUGUCACAUACAAUCACAUUUCUACAGUCUUUUGUGAUGGACCAAUAGCACAUUUCUUGUAUCUCUUUUAGAAGGUCACUUAUCGUUCGUUAAGUUCAUUGUGUUGUAUGGGUUGUUGCGGUCAAUAAAAUAAUAAUAAUAAUAA